GAUCUUUGCAGUUCAAGACAUGGACAGCAUCUUUGCCAAGUACUUCCUUGUGGGCUUGCUGCUGCGCUUGUUACGCUGAUCAUUGCACCGAACAGUGCUGGCGCCAUUCCUCCUGGAGUAGUCGAAAAUGCCGCUAAUGCACUUUCACAGGCAUUUGGAAGAAACGAGGAAAGUGCGGAAGAAUGAGACGUUUAUCUGCGUGAUGCCUUGCGCUGGUCAUACGUUGCAUUGUACAUUGUAUGCAGCUUCAUUGAAAUAAAUAAAAUCAAGAAAUCAGAGAA